GCCUGGGUAGCUCAGGGGCAGAGCGCGUCCUUGGUAAGGACGAGGUCAUGGGUUCAACUCCCAUUCCAGGCU
rnacentral:tRNA from 1 species